GGGGACGCUAUGGAUUUGACGGGGCGAUUGAGGUAACCGUGCUGCGAGUUCCGGCGAUGUUCCGGGUUAUCAACGAUCAAACGAUUUACAUGCUAACAAUGUAAUCAAAGCUGACUUCUCAAGAGUUAGAACUCUUGCUGCUUAGUAUUUAAGCAGGUCACCUCUGUAUGACCAACUUGCCGUUGUGCAGGGGAAAUUAUGCAAGUUGCUGCGUAUGACGGUUGUAAAUACGCCUAAGAUUACAACCAAACUCGGCAGAGUCUAAUGUGCUUUAUCGGUAUGUAGGGAAUUGGUUCGUGCCACAAUAUCGACAAGAAUAACAGACCUACACUCGUAGAUGUACGUUUAUUUCCGUUUCGGACGUGAGUUCGAUUCUCACCGUCUCCACCA
rnacentral:tmRNA from 1 species